rnacentral:telomerase_RNA from 1 species
ACGCGCCACGCCUCCCUCACAGUCUUCCGACUCUCGUUUUCCGCAAGGAAUGUCUAUCGCAGACCCCCCUUCCAGGCUGGUUUGCCCACAACAUGCCGCCCUCGAGCCUGUAUCAGGACCUCGUUGACUGCCGCAGUGGAUCUGUUGUGCGUUACACGCCGUUCGUUACGGGACGGUCCAGCCUAGCCGGGGGAAUGAGUUUCGGAACUUAACCCUAAGAAGAUAUCUGGUUCAGUCUUGCGCUCUGUCGUUCGAAGCGCCUUUUAAGUUAGCUAAGCACCAAGAGUCAUGACGCGCCCGCUGAAAAGUGGGACGAUUGGCUUGCGGCGCUGUGCAGACGGACGGGCGUGGAGAGCACUCCAGUCACCCUCGGGUGCGUGAGAGGAUCGGUGCUAUGAGUCGUUACGGUAAGAGCCUCUGGUCUGAGGACGCUCGUCAGCCCUUUCCACUGGAACCAGCACAAUGGUCAAGAGUAGACCGUCUUGGAGAUGCGGUCAGCCUGGCGGAGUUUGGUCGGUGCAGUUGAAACAAACUUGACCUCUUGGUCAGACGGCUCGAUCUACCUCGGCAGGGAAGAAGUGAGGCCCCGGAACGGCUUCAAACAGUCAGUUGACUUUUGGUUUCUUUCCAACCAUUCCUGAGCAUCGCCUGUCGGAACCAUCUGUUGGUUAAUUCCAGCGGGUGCAAUGGGGAGCUCAUGGGCACACACAGAAAGAAGCUUGUCAACUGAUCACCCUCGCCUUCCGGUAGAGCCUCCGGUCCUUUGGAACUGCAACAUGGUAUCAAGAUCAACGUCCGUGGCAUCUACCUCCUCUCUUGGCUUCGCCGCUCCCAGGACCACACCUUGGCAUCCUCCAGCUGUGUGUGACGCCUCGGCGUCUGGUCUGACCAAGCGCAUCAACCUCCCGCCGUUGGUCUCAAUCCUUCGGUUAAAGAGGACGCCAGCCCACCGUCGGGUACCAAACGGUUCUGACAGUUCCCUCAGCCAUCUUCUAUAGUUUGGUCUGAGAUGAUAGGGCGGUUUUUACGGAUGUUUUUUGUCCGCCCGGAAUGCCCUCCUUAGCUGCCCUCGUGGCCCGAUGGAGAGGAAUCAAAAACUAGUCCUUGUUGGCAGCGCGGAUCAAACAGAAGGGGCCACUUGCUCAAGUCUUGAAUUGUCCGAGACGCAUUGUGUUGUGUCGACUUUUGGUGGUGUCAUGUCGGCGAAGGCAACGAAUCACGCCGGAGUUGUCAGCUAGCGAACGGCUUUUGCUUUGGCACAUCUCAUUUUCCGAAGCGAGGUUCAUGGCUGACAUCCAAAGCAGCACCGGGACCCAUCUCGAGUUGGAGUCAAAGUUUCGUGCUUGUCUGGUGCUGCCGAGGCCAAGUCAUGGGCCAAGUUUAGGUUCUUGAGAGCCAAGGUUGGAGUCGGGUUGUCCAUCUUUUGGAUCCUUGGACAGGCCGCAUUGGAUGAGGCAGUCCUGGUUGUCCUCUCACCAGGAAUGGUGCAGAGGACAACCCCCCA